rnacentral:rRNA from 1 species
CUCGUAGGCGGUUUGUCGCGUCUGCCGUGAAAGUCCGGGGCUCAACUCCGGAUCUGCGGUGGGUACGGGCAGACUAGAGUGAUGUAGGGGAGACUGGAAUUCCUGGUGUAGCGGUGAAAUGCGCAGAUAUCAGGAGGAACACCGAUGGCGAAGGCAGGUCUCUGGGCAUUAACUGACGCUGAGAAGCGAAAGCAUGGGGAGCGAACA